rnacentral:lncRNA from 1 species
UAUUGUGUUGCUGUGUGAAAGAAAAUCUCUCAAUUUAUAGAGGCCACAACCUUUUUCCUCCAAAGAAAUCUAUCAAAUAUAGAAGAGAUAUAUAUUAUCCUUUAAGAGAAAGUAAAACAAUUAUAGUUAAUGUCACACCUCCUUUUUUUUCGAGGGAGAUAUGGAGUUUUUCCAAUUAAAGUGACAUUAAUCGAAAUGAGAUUAUUUAUUUAUAUCAGAGUCGCCACUUGGAAUAAUUUAUGGUAUCCCAAGUCACCGGUUUAUUUUAAAUCCCAAAUAGAGGAAAUUAACUCUUAUAUAUGGUCUGCGAACACAGAAAACCGGGUAAGGAAUUCUGUUAAUCCGAGAGAAGGUGUUAGGCAUUCCCGGAUUCUGUGGUUUUAGCACGGUCGCUCAACUGUUAAUAAUUGGCUUAAUUACCUGAUUUAUUACAUGUUUAAAACCUAUUGUAUAUUUUUUUUUUACCCUUUUAACCGCUUUUAAUAUUUAUGGAAUAUAUUUGAACAAGUCGCGAUGUCGCACACUCGUUUUUCUACAUAUUGUGAAUCGCACCACGUGAAACGCACCCGCGAUUUACAACAUGUUUAUUAUUACAAUUAUUUGAAGUGAUGGUCGAGUCAUGUGAAAUACACACUCGACUUGGGAUUACGUAUCAUGACUAUGCCACGGGAACCGUACCCAUAGUCACGAUGAUUUAUUAUUAAUCGCGCCUAAAGCAAGUUACGAUUGUUCAUGAAUUAUUUUCCUAAAGCUAAUUUGAGAUUAUUGUAAGACCAAGAAUUUAUAGAAUUCAUCAAUGAUAUAUCUAAAUUAUUGGAAGUGUUCAUAGCUUAGUAAAAGUGUUAAAGUUCUUUAAAAAAAAGAUGCACUAGCUAAUCCAUACACAUUUUGUAGUCCAAAGUAUAUACGUUUUUUCAGUUUAAAAAUGAUCGAAGAUGAAUUUCUUUAGCAUUAUACCAUCUAAGUUUCCAAACACGGAUAAACAUCAGCUACGUACCUAUAUGAGAUUGAAAUCUAAAACGAACAAAAAGUACAAUAAAUAAACUAAGCACUUCAGUUAUCAAGAAACCAAAAAUUAGUACAUAAUUUUGCCAAUAAAGAUAAUCAGGGCGGUUCUAAUGUUUUUGGCGGUGAGGCCAUUCCCAAAUUUAUUUUAAAUUCUUUUUAUUAUUAUUACUAUAUACUAAUAAUUCAUAUAAAUAAUUAGUAUAAAAAAAGUGUUACAAUAUAUUAUUUUGUUACUUGAUUGAGGUUAUUUUAUACCAAUAAAUUUAUAAAAUAUAAUAAUUUCCCCCCUCAUUAAUUAGUAAAUUUGCUUCACUCUUUAAUUUUAAUUUUUUUUCUUUUUAUAUAGGAAUUAAAUUAUAUAUAUAUCGUUAACAUAAUAAAUUUCUUUUACAAUAUACUCCUAAAUUGCAUGAACACAAAAGUAUUCAUGCACCGAUUUUCUUUUAGUGUAAUUCGACAUAUUAUAUUAGGUUAUUUAUAAUUUAUUUUAGAUAUUCACUAAAAAGUGUUACUUAAUAUAAUGAACUACAAUUAUCGUUUAAAUUGAUCAGAAGGAGUAAAUAUUUUUGGCACCGUCAAUGCUCAAAACUUACGUUGUUACGUCAUGUACGUUUAUUUCUUUUUUUUGUUUGUGAUGAUAGCCAAAUCAAGAUUUUCACUUUGAUUUCUGGACCUCAACAUCCGAUAGUCCACCACUUUAUUUUUGUGUGCUCUUCUUCAUUUUUUUUUUGAAAUUCGUUUUUUGUCUUAAAUGAUUAAUUUGUUAUUUAAAAAGCAAAUAUUGUUAUUAGUAUAAAUAUUUUGUAGAAUAAAUCUAAGGCCUCUCCAUAUGAUUUCUCCUUAGGCCACGAAAUCGCCGCCCGAAGAUAAUAACAUAAAUGAAUUGAAAAGUUUCAUGGAUCAAGAACAAAAUAUUUUGCAGGAAAGCAAAACUUCGGUUGACAUAAGGGGGCAUCAACAAUUAAUACAGUAUAACAUUGAGAAGCUAGAUUAAUUUUAUCAAAAUGAAAUCAAAUCCAUAUCUAAGCAGGACCACAAACAGACACGCAAAUAAUAAAGAUUUAAGGUAAAAGGUUGGACCUUUAGUAAUAAAAAUCUUUCUUCUAUUAACAAACACCUCCGGUGGAAUUACAACAGCUGAAUCGACGCCAAAUCAACUCCAACAGUGAAAACCCGCCUGAAUCCGAACAGAAAACGCAGCGGCGCUAAAACCUCGCCGACAACUCGAUUUUUGAAGUGACUAAUGGCUAUUUUGAAGUUGUUUUGGAUGGUUUUGGAGCAUCUUUAAUGGAGGAAAUGGGUGGUGAGCUAUGGCUAAACUAAGGUGAAAAGGAAAAUGAUUUCGUAAGCUUCUGCUGGCAACGUUUUCUUUGAAGAAAAGGAGUUGUAACCUAGAGUUCUAAAGUCUAAUUGUCUAAAUCUGAUUUUCGGGACUGUUGUUUUUGAGUUGAUUCAGCUCCCUUUCAUGGUUUUUGUUGCAGCUACUUGAGAAUGAAGAGGGAGUUUCAACGAUGGAUUAUUCAAGCUAAGAAUUCUUUUAUUUAACUCCAUUGCUCUCUCUAUUUUCUUAGGGUGUGGCUGCCGUUUCUUAGGGGUCUAUGAAUUUUGGAAAUUCAAAGGUAGGCUAUGGUUCGAUUAUAAUUGGAUUUAAAUAUUAGUUAAAAAUUG